CCUACGUGAGGCAGCAGUGGGGGAUAUUGCACAAUGGGGGAAACCCUGAUGCAGCGACGCCGCGUGUGGGAAGACGGUCCUCUGGAUUGUAAACCACUGUCCCCAGGGACGAAGAUGACGGUACCUGGGGAGGAAGCUCCGGCUAACUACGUGCCAGCAGCCGCGGUAAUACGUAGGGAGCAAGCGUUAUCCGGAUUUAUUGGGUUUAAAGGGUGCGUAGGCUGUGAGGUAAGUCAGCGGUGAAAUGCCCCCGCUCAACGGGGUGAAGUGCCAUUGAUACUGCCUUGCUGGAAUGCGGAUGCCGUGGGAGGAAUGUGUGGUGUAGCGGUGAAAUGCUUAGAUAUCACGAAGAACUCCGAUUGCGAAGGCAGCCUACUAAACUGCCACUGACAUUGAUGCUCGAAAGUGUGGGUAUCAAACAGGAUUAGAUACCCCUGUAGUC
rnacentral:rRNA from 1 species